rnacentral:rRNA from 1 species
GAUGAACGCUGGCGGCGUGCCUAAUACAUGCAAGUCGAGCGAACAGACGAGAAGCUUGCUUCUCUGAUGUUAGCGGCGGACGGGUGAGUAACACGUGGAUAACCUACCUAUAAGACUGGGAUAACUUCGGGAAACCGGAGCUAAUACCGGAUAAUAUUUUGAACCGCAUGGUUCAAUAGUGAAAGACGGUCUUGCUGUCACUUAUAGAUGGAUCCGCGCUGCAUUAGCUAGUUGGUAAGGUAGCGGCUUACCAAGGCAACGAUGCAUAGCCGACCUGAGAGGGUGAUCGGCCACACUGGAACUGAGACACGGUCCAGACUCCUACGGGAGGCAGCAGUAGGGAAUCUUCCGCAAUGGGCGAAAGCCUGACGGAGCAACGCCGCGUGAGUGAUGAAGGUCUUCGGAUCGUAAAACUCUGUUAUUAGGGAAGAACAAAUGUGUAAGUAACUGUGCACGUCUUGACGGUACCUAAUCAGAAAGCCACGGCUAACUACGUG